GUGUCAGCAGCCGCGGUAAUACAGAGGGUGCAAGCGUUAAUCGGAAUUACUGGGCGUAAAGCGUGCGUAGACGGUAGCGUAAGUCGGGUGUGAAAGCCCCGGGCUCAACCUGGGAAUUGCAUUCGAGACUGCUCUGCUAGGGUGCGGAAGAGGGGAGCGGAAUUUCCGGUGUAGCGGUGAAAUGCGUAGAUAUCGGAAGGAACACCAGUGGCGAAAGCGGCUCCCUGGUCCAGCACCGACGUUCAGGCACGAAAGCGUGGGGAGCAAACAGGAUUAGAAACCCCGGUAGUCC
rnacentral:rRNA from 1 species